AUUGAACGCUGGCGGCAUGCCUUACACAUGCAAGUCGAACGGUAACAGGUCUUCGGAUGCUGACGAGUGGCGAACGGGUGAGUAAUACAUCGGAACGUGCCUAGUAGUGGGGGAUAACUACUAGAAAGAGUGGCUAAUACCGCAUGAGAUCUACGGAUGAAAGCAGGGGAUCGCAAGGACUUGUGCUACUAGAGCGGUCGAUGGCAGAUUAGGAAGUUGGUGGGACAAAAGCUUACCAAGCCGACGAUCUGUAGCUGGUCUGAGAGGACGAUCAGCCACACUGGGACUGAGACACGGCCCAGACUCCUACGGGAGGCAGCAGUGGGGAAUUUUGGACAAUGGGCGAAAGCCUGAUCCAGCAAUGCCGCGUGCAGGAUGAAGGCCUUCGGGUUGUAAACUGCUUUUGUACGGAACGAAAAGCCCCGGGUUAAUACCCUGGGGUCAUGACGGUACCGUAAGAAUAAGCACCGGCUAACUACGUGCCAGCAGCCGCCGUAA
rnacentral:rRNA from 1 species